AUUGAACGCUGGCGGCAGGCUUAACACAUGCAAGUCGAGCGGAGAUGAGGUGCUUGCACCUUAUCUUAGCGGCGGACGGGUGAGUAAUGCUUAGGAAUCUGCCAUUUAGUGGGGGACAACAUUCCGAAAGGAAUGCUAAUACCGCAUACGUCCUACGGGAGAAAGCAGGGGAUCUUCGGACCUUGCGCUAAAUGAUGAGCCUCAGUCGGAUUAGCUAGUUGGUGGGGUAAAGGCCUACCAAGGCGACGAUCUGUAGCGGGUCUGAGAGGAUGGUCCGCCACACUGGGACUGAGACCCGGCCCAGACUCCUACGGGAGGCAGCAGUGGGGAAUAUUGGACAAUGGGCGGAAGCCUGAUCCAGCCAGGCCGCGUGUGUGAAGAAGGCCUUUUGGUUGUAAAGCACUUUAAGCGAGGAGGAGGCUACUAGUACUAAUACUACUGGAUAGUGGACGUUACUCGCAGAAUAAGCACCGGCUAACUCUGUGCCAGCCGCCGCAGUAAAAC
rnacentral:rRNA from 1 species